UACGAAGGGGGCUAGCGUUGCUCGGAAUCACUGGGCGUAAAGGGCGCGUAGGCGGCCAUUCAAGUCGGAGGUGAAAGCCCAGGGCUCAACCCUGGAAUUGCCUUCGAUACUGUCUGGCUAGAGACCGGAAGAGGUAAGUGGAACUGCGAGUGUAGAGGUGAAAUGCGUAGAUAUCGGGAGGAACACCAGUGGCGAAGGCGGUUGCCUGGAGCUUUGCUGACGCUGAUGCGCGAAAGCGUGGGGAGCGAUCCGG
rnacentral:rRNA from 1 species